rnacentral:rRNA from 1 species
AACGAACGCUGGCGGCAUGCCUAACACAUGCAAGUCGAACGAAACCUUCGGGCCUUUUGGCGCACGGCUGCGUAACGCGUGGGAACCUGCCCUUAGGUUCGGAAUACCUCCCCGAAAGGGAUCCUCAUACCGGAUCAUGUCUUCGCACCAAAGAUUUAUCGCCUUUGGGUGGGCCCUCGUUGGAUUCGCUUGUUGGUAGGGUAAUAGCAUACUAAGGGGACGUUCCAUAGCUGGUCUGAGAGGAUGAUCAUCCACACUUGAAAUCAGACACGGCCCAGACUCCUACGCGAGGGGGGAGAGGAUAAUAGAGGAAAAUGGGGGAAAGCCUGAACAAGCAAUGCGGGGUGAGAGAUGAAGGGCGUAGGGUAGUAAAGUUGUUUUACCCGGGAUGAUAAUGACAGUACCGGGUGAAUAAGCUCCGGCUAACUACGUG